rnacentral:misc_RNA from 1 species
AAAAUGGCGUCUUUUACGGGCUAGCGCUUAUCCGCCGCAUACUGAAUACCGUUUUCAAUAAUCGUGGGUGUAACUAUUUAUUAGUGAUUAUAACAAUUUGUGAACGACUAUUCAGUGUUUAAGUGCAUUUUUUUCCAUAACGGACUCACUGGAUAUUGUUUCAAUACAUCUAAACGAGCUCCCUCAAAGAGAUGCGCAGAGACACAGUGGAGAUAUAACACGAUGUGCGAGGUCGGAUGAGGCGCGAGCGCGCGCUCACGCGACGCGCAAACUAACAAUAUGUCGUUCUUCAAUAAUCUUAAGAAGGUGCUGCACCUGGGCAGCGGCAACGAUGCUAAGAAAAAGAAAGUGUUCAACAACAUUAGGGACAACAGCGAUCCCUCUGAGAACUGGGACAUGGUUGGCGAGCUCGGCGAUGGCGCGUUUGGGAAGGUAUACAAAGCCCAACACAAGACGACGGGCCAGCUCGCCGCCGCCAAAAUGUGCGUUCUCGACAACGAGGACGACCUCGCCGACUUUACCGUCGAGAUCGACAUACUGUCGGAGUGUCGGCACCCCAACGUCGUCGAGCUACACGAGGCGUACUUCAUCGACAACAAGCUGUGGAUGCUCCUAGAAUACUGCGACGGUGGCGCCCUCGACUCUGUGAUGGCUGAACUAGAAAAAGGCCUCAACGAAAUACAAAUAGCCUACGUCUGCAGAGAAAUGUGCAGAGGUCUGCAGUUUCUGCACUCGAGAAGAGUUAUACACAGGGACCUGAAGGCCGGCAAUGUGUUGGCUACCAUGACAGGAGGGGUUAAGCUGGCGGAUUUCGGCGUAUCAGCGAAGAACAAGUCGACUCUACAGAAGCACGACACGUUCAUCGGGACGCCGUACUGGAUGGCGCCCGAGGUCGUGCUCUGCGAGACCUUCAGAGAUCAUCCUUAUGAUUUUAAGGUGGACAUCUGGUCACUAGGUAUAACUCUAAUAGAGUUUGCGCAAAUGGAGCCUCCCAACCACGAGAUGACGCCCAUGCGAGUGCUGCUCAAGAUACAGAAGAGUGAACCGCCCACCCUCGACCAGCCAUCCAAGUGGAGCAAGUCCUUCAACGACUUCAUAUCUAAGGCUCUCGUUAAGGACCCAGAAAAAAGGCCGACGGCGGUAGAGCUGAUGAAGCACGAGUUCGUAAACGGGAAGUUAGACGCCAAACCUCUGCGAGAGCUGCUGCUGGAGUACAGAGCUGAAGUGGUGGAGGAGGAGCUGCUGGACGACGACUCCGAGGAGCCGCGCAGCUCUCAUAUCCCCAUGGAGGAAGAUGACUCCACCUCCGUACGCUCCGCCGACACGCCAGAUGUCAAGAUGUCGGAGGAGCACCCCGGCGCCGCCGCAACGCCCCGCGCCGCCACGCCGCCGCCGAGCACGCCGCCUGCCUCCACUCCGCCUGCCGCCACGCCGCCUGCCGCCACUCCGCCGGCCGCCACGCCGCCGGCCGCCGCCGCCGCCAAGCGCCCGCACGAAGACGAGCACCCGCCUGCCGAUAGGAAGCCGCCUGCACCAAAAAAAGAGAAAGGCCCAGCACCUCCACCCCCAUCAGCCACAGCACCACCCGCCGCUCCCGCCGUCACCCCCGCUCCCACCCCCGCUCGAAAGCAACCCGCCCCACCUCCUCCCGCCGCGCCAACCACACCCGUCACACCCGUAGCCGUCACACCCGUUACACCCGUCAGCGUGGUCACCCCGGUCAGUGCAGUGACUCCGGUCAGUACGGCGACUCCGGUCAGUAUAGUGACCCCCGUGAGUCCGGCGCCGCCGGAGGAAGCCACGGACACGGCAGCGCUGCCUGCUGCUGCCGCCGGCAGGCUUAUUGUGGACCAGGUAUGCAGAGACGCAGAAAAGGCAGUCGAAAACAAGACCACAGACAAAAAACAAGAAGUCGAAGACAAACCAAAGCAAGAAAAACAGACAGACAUUAAAACAAAUAUUAUUACAACUAAAACGGACAAAGAAAAAUUACCUAAAACCAAUUCUAUUGAAGAAAAAACAUCUAAAAGUCGACCCAACUCUUUACACGAGGUAAAUAAGAGGGAUAUUCAAGACAGGGAUAUAAAAAGAGAUCCCUUACAAGAUAGGGACCUUAAUAGAGAUAUAAAACAAGAAAAGGAUGUAAGAGAAAGAGAUGUAAAAAGAGAUUCUUUACACGAAAGGGAUAUCAAAAGAGAUUCCUUGGAGAAGACAGGGAUAGAAGUGAAUAGAGUUAGUGCAGAAGUUAGUCGGUUGGAGAAGAAUUAUUCUCGGUCCAGUUCUGUUGAUGAAGAGAGAGUCGAUAAGAGUAGAGAGAGAGAGAGGAGAACGCAACAUAAUGCUGUUGAAAUUAGGCCUGUUACGCCACCACAACCCAAAGAGCCGGACCCGCCUCUAUCACCAGCCCCGGCCCCCAUCGCCCCCAGCACAGUGGUGGUACACUCGGGAGUGGUGCUGGACGGCGCCGUGGUGGUGGUGGAACCGAACAGCCUGGCCGCCACGCCGGCGGGGCUGGUCACUGUCACCACCACCCAUCCGCCCGUGCUUAGUACUGCGGCUACUCUCCCGCCGAACGCAGUGACAAUAUCGACGACACCCCCCAUAGCCGACGAAGUGGUGAUCGUCGGAGCUGGCUCAUCAUCAGACGACGACUGCUUCGCGCCGUCAUCACUCGACAGCUUGGACUGCACACAUUAUAGUGAAAAAGCGAGAGGCCGUCGUUUAGAUAGCAGCGAGGUGUUGAUUCUAAGUCCAACGGCCGCCGCCACUGAUUCCGGAGUCUUCGAUGACAGUGUUACUAAUGGACUUAAUUUGGACACAUCGCACGUAUCAGUGGUGACAGUCGGUAACGAAGAGGUGCGGGUUCGAGACUCGGCUGCGACACACAUCGCCCUCGGUUCCGUCAGCACUAGGCUCAGUCCUGAUAGUUUUGAGAGCAUUCCCAGCAGGUCGCAGUCGGACAGCGGGUCGGUGGCGUCGCUGUCGUCGCGGGCGGCCGCCGACGCCGACUCGCUGGCGCCCGACACUCACGACUCGCAGCUCAAUGGCGGCACCAGAGUAAACACGGAUAGUCAGAAUUUGGAUAAUGGAGAGCCUGUAGUACUGAGAAGAAAGCAGCAAGACGGACAGCCUGUUAAUAGGAUACAGAGAUCUAAGGAGGAUAUCCACAUGGCCAACUUGAAGAAGAAGACCCGCAAGCGCACCAGGAAGUUUGAGAUCGAUGGCGUUAUAGUCACCACCACUACUUCCAAGGUGAUAUGGGGCGACGAAGAAAGCGGCCGCACGUGGGACGACCACGCGCUCCGCAAACAAGAGCUGCGCGAGAUCAAGAUGCUGCAGAAACAGGAGCAGAAGCAGUUCCAGGACCUCAACGCUAAGGAGAGCCAGCUCAGAGAGCAGCAGGAUAAGAGGUUCGAAGCCGAACUAGUGUCCCUAGGCCGAGCCCACGAGGCCGACCUCGAAGCCCUAGCGCGGGCCCAGCGGGCCUCCGCCGAGAGGGCCGAACAACAACUGGAGGCCGAACUCCGACACGCCGCCAAGCGCCUCCGCGCCGACCACGAGCGGGACCUGCGCCACUUCAGAGACACGCUCAAACAGGAGCUUAGGUUGCUCAAACAGGAAGUGGAACUAGUAGCGAAAGAGCGUCGCAAGGACGCGUACCGAGUGCGACGAGCUCGCCUGGACGCCGAACACGGCGAGCGCGAGCGAGCAUUCGUGGCCGCGCUCGCCGACGCCGGCGACGCCGUGCUGCGACGCAUACACGACGCGCAUAGAGAUAGGCAGGCGUUAGCUGAUACCCAGUACCUGCAACAGAGGCAUCAGAUAAUGCGAACCCGCGAAGCAGCCCUCUGGGAACUAGAAGAGAAGCAGAUUCACGAGCGUCACCAGCUCGCCAAGCGGCAGCUGAAGGACGAGUUCCUGCUGCGGCGCCAUCAGAUGCUGGUCAGGCAUGACAAGGAGCUGGAGCAGAUCAAACGGAAAAACACCCGCAAAGAGGAAGAGCUAGCGAAAGUCCAGGCUCUAGAAAAGCGAUCUCUGCCAAAACGCAUCCGCGCCGAACAGAAGGCCAGAGAGAUGAUGUUCCGAGAGUCUCUACGCAUCAGCGCUGUUAAUGCGCCGAGUCAUGAAGAUGAGCGGGAGAGGUUGAAGAAGUUCCAAGAGAACGAGAAGCGUCGUUACCGCGCAGAGCAGCAGCGCCUCGCGACGAAGCAUGCCAAAGCCAGGGAGGAGCUCAAGGCCGCUGGAGAGGCGUUACUCCGAGAAUUGGAACAAUACCAGAACGAGAAACGCAAAGCCCUCAUGAACCACGAGAGCAACAAGAUGAAGGCAGUCGAGGAGCGAUACUCCCAGGAGCUCAAGGAGUGGAGAGCUACCCUCGGGGAUAGGAAGCUGGCACUAGAAGAAGAAUUCACAGUCCAGCUAGAGGAACAAGAAAGGCAAUCAGCUAGCAGCCGAAUGCCCCCUCCACCUUCAACCAUGCCACAACACAGUUCUACCCUCCAUUCAUCACGGACCAGUCUAGCUUCCAGCCAUUACGACUAGACUUCGCACACACAUAUAGUCUCCGUGACCUUCCACGGAGGUUCAAUAACGUACUUUAAAAACAUCGUACGCUUAAAGAGGACCAAAAAACACUGCCGGAGCUGUGUGUGUGUAAAAAAGACAAACUCACCCAAAUAGUUCGUUUUUUCGCCGCUAGAUGGCGUUGUGUUCAGUAACGUUAGUUGCAUAGGUCGGCGAGAGAUGGCGCUGUUUUCAAUGUUAGACUGAUGUUUUAUUAUGGAUGUAAAGAAUUGAGGUUUUUCUGCGAUUCAGGGAAUCGAUGGAAUAUUAACGAAAUGUGUUUUUAAUAAAUGUACCCGAAUUUUGUCAGCACUUUUCUGUCUAACUUGGGUCAUGUCUUGAAUAAGCUUUCUUCGGUCUCUGCUUUUUGUGAAGAGGCGAACAUAAAAAUUUCGAAUUGAAAGUAACUAAAAUAAACCCCAGUAUUUAUCUACUUAAUUAGGAUUAUGAAAUGGGGCCUAAAACGCACAAAAAUAAGGCUAAUUAAUUGCUUAGUUAAUUUUAACCUUUUCAACGCUAAAAAAUGGCGUCGCUGGCGGGAACUAUCGAAUGUAAAUAAAAUUUAAAAUAAUACAACGUUUUUGAAGAAAUUUUUAGAACUAAUAUUAGGUAGAAUGGACAUUUUAAAAUUUUUAAUGGCGGUUACGCUAAGAGUGCAAGUAUUUUACACGUUUAUUAUGUCUGUAGUGAAAUUGCGUUUUUAAAUUAUUGGAUGGUAUCAACUGUCUUAUAUGAAUUGGAAUAUAAAGGAUGCUUAUAAAAACUUAUCCACGUUUAAUUAAAUCUAGCGAGAAAGUGCUUAUUCUAUUACCGAAAAUAUUCAAUUAUUUUGAAGAAAAUAAUGUUCUGUUUCCGCUCGCAUUAAAGGCUGUUCGCAAUAUUCUACGUAUAUUUUGUUGUAUUUACUAGAGGUAGGAAUUUCAUAAUAGCCCCAAAUAAGCAUUGUUCGGGGCUAAACAAAACAACAGGGGUCCGAUUCUGCUAAGUUAGUAAUGUCAAAAUUGAAUCGCAAUAGCAGUUUUAUCCUUAGCGGACAUUCUGCUACUUAUAUAAGACCAAUCUUAUUCCAAUGACAUUCGAUUGGUUUGCGACUUGUCUCCCAUUUGGUCUAUACGGUAGUUUGCUCUACAAUCAUAUUGCAAUCGUAAAUCAUUUGCAGACAAUAUGAUUCAAAAUUGAAUCACAGAAACGGAUAAAAACGUUUAUUUAAAAGAAAAAAAUAGCGGAAUGCCACAUACGCUGCAAUCGUAAUUGAGUCGUGAUUGGAUCUCAGUCGGAUGUGAAUCGUUUUUCGCUUAAGUAAAAUUAGUAGAAUCGCUCCCCAGGUAGACGGAAUGUUGUAAUCGGCCAUAAAAGAAUUCGUGUUCUAAUUCGCAUUGCAAAGAUUUUCGACAAAAGUUAUCGUAAAAAAAAGUAAAAGUUAUAAGUGCUGUCUUUAUCAUGGUCACCAUUUACCUGGCUGGUAUUGGCAGCAGUGAAAAAAGGAAUUGAAUAACUAAAGAGGUGCUUUCGCGAAGAUUGAUUGAUAAGCAAUUUUAAUGUGUGUAUUGGGAUUAAUAAAUUAAAGUCUAGGCAUUUGAAGGAAAAAUUAAAUUGCUGGACAGCGUUGCAUCAUUUGUGAAUAGGAAUAAAUAAGAACAUAGGUUCGGUUCAAAACCAAAAGUUUUUUUUUUUUUUCAAAUAACUGCAUAAACGCAAAUCGCAAUUUUUUACCGAUUUGCAAUCCUUGUGUAAGGGUCUUAGUCAAAAAUUGUCUUGCAAUAAAUCAAAAUACUUAAUUAGAAACAAAUUUUGUCUAUAUUAAUAUUUUAGCGUUACUAGCAGUGUUGCCAGGUUAUGAAAAAUAUCAGGAUAGUUAUAAAAAGUUGGGGAUAUAGCAAAAAUGUACCGACAGCUUCUUAUGAUUUUUUAUUAGAUAUUUACUUGUCUAAAAAAGGAGAAAUUAAUAUCUUGGUGGAAUAAUUUCUGUUAGCGGGAAAUUACUGGCAACACUAAAUACUAGGCUUGUGUGGAACUAGUGAAAUAUAAGGCCUAAAAGUGUUCAUAUUUAUGGACAUUAUAUUAAACCCCUUUUUUGCUGUAUUUUAAUAAUGUAGACUGAAAAUGUGGAUUUGUGGAAAAAAAACGUUUAAUAUUUUUUUAAAAGGUGCGAAUAAUUACUUAAACCUAAAUAAAAAUUUGUCAAAAUAAAAUAUGAAACCUUGGAAAGCGUUUAGUGUGAAAAAAAUAGUAAAAUAUGUACCUCUAUAUCUUUGUGCAAAUAUUAACGCAACUUCCUUCAAAAUUACUUCAGACAGUGUUGUAAGCUUAACUUGACACUUAUCGUACAUUAUUCUGAAACAAUACAAAAUUCAAUGUCUUUGUUAAUCCUGUAAAUAUGAAGAAAAGCAGUAACAACGUUGCACAGCGCUUUAAGCCGCAAAUAAUCCAGUUUGAACCGGUUUGUAUAACGGUUGAGCCGCGCCUCAAGCUAGAUUAUUACAUAAAUCAACUAUUUUGAAUUUUGAAAACGUAUCAAUAAGUACAUAAUGAUCAAUGCACUUAGAAUAGAAAAUAAAGAAGAUCAUAGGAAAUCUAAAGCUUUAUUUCACUUGAUAAAAUUCACUAACUAAUUUAGUAAAGUAAAACAGCAUAGAGUGUUAAAGCGGAAGAGAAGUGUCUUCUGACUGACUAAAUAUUAAUUAUAAAGCGGUUUAGUACCUCUAACUCAAAAUAAAUCAUAUAUGAAAACUUGGCUGCAAAACAACACUUUUUGAACGCCAAAAUUUACAAAAGUCAGCCCCAAACGCCCACCCUUCACCACUUUCUGUGUUUUUACUGGUAAGAAGUAAAAUUUGUCAAAUGAUAUAAGGCUUUAAAAAGCGUCGAUAUUACCGCUUUUGCUCAGAAAACCUAAAUGCUUGAGUAUUCCAACAUAAUUGUGAGAUUUUAAAGUAGUUAUGUGAUUUUAUUCACAAAGUGCUCGUCAAAUAAGUUUGCCGUUACGAAGUCGGCUGAUGCUGACUUCACUGCGCAUGUGUGAGGCGUCAAACUUAGGGGCAAAGUUAUUUGAUGAGAAUAUAUCAUAUCGAUUAUGAGAAAAAAAAAAAUACGCUUAUACUUGUAAGUUUCUUACGGAAGUGACUUCCGUAAGUUGUACCUAAGCAGUUGUGAAAAAAAAUAUAAUAAGCGACUUACGGAGUUAUUUUACAUUUGUAAAUUGAUCGUAAGUCAUUUACGUUAGCCACUUACAAGUGUAAGGCGGUUUCAUAAAAAAGUCACGGUUUAUGAAUGUAUGUAGAUUUUGUACAGAAUAAAGUUUAAUUAAGUUCACAUUAAAUUAGUCAGCUUAGAUUUUGACUGACAUUACUGAAUAGGCAAAUAAAAUAAAUAUUUUUUCAUGUACAGUAUAAAAUAAGUAACGUGCCUACUUAAUUUAUGUUUUUAUUUUCUUAUCUAACGGCAAGAGCCCGCAUACUGUGUAAAAAAUAAAUUUUAUUAAAAACUAAAUUAGAAUCGAUUUUCACUUGACGUGAAUUUUAUUUGUUAAUUUAAAUACACAGUCACGCCUGCUAGUCUUCUUAAUAUGCUCAUUGCAAAAAUAAAUAUUUAUUAUUGAAUUAUUUUUCUACAAAAAUUACCAAACUUUACCGCUUUAACUUUCAAAACUGUCAAUGUCAUGCAGUACAAAAUGGCGCGUGAAUAAAAAUUGGCAAGUCACCAUGAAGGUUCGAUAGCUAAGGCAAUGACUAUAAGAAGGCAAUAUACCAGAUUUCUGUACAACAUUUUCUGUCUGCCAUAACAUUUUACUAUUUUCUGUAUUUCUGUAAAAACCAAAGAGAACUUUUUCAAUCUGUUUUAAAAGCGUGUUCAAUUUUGCGGAUAUUUUAUGUAACAUUUUAAAUUAUAUAGCAAUAAAUCAGUUACAAAUACACAAAAACUUUUUUUAAAUGAAAAUAGGUAGGCUUUCGCUGGUUUCUUUUUGCAAUGCUUGAAAAUCCAUCCCCUCAGAAACCGGUUAGUACCAAUCUUUUUCAAACCCCCAAGUCUUUUUUUGGUAAUACAUAAGUUUCUGGUUCUUUAAUUCGACAAUUUUUAUGUUUCAACAAAUGUGAAUAACCGCAUAAUUCUGAUCACACUUUUAAACGCGCUAGUCUUUCGGGCUGAUCGUAUAAAAGACGUAGUUUAUACCUUUUUUUGUAUCUUAUAAGUCGAAACAACGAUUAGGAAGUGUUUUUCUUAAAUUAUUGUAAUAAUAAUUACCUUAGGGGAGGUUCAUAUCUGGCUGAAAAGCGUAUAGUAAAUGUAUGAUCGACGCAGUAACACAACAUCGGUUAGGAGUGAAUGAGUGAAUGUUUUAUCUUAUAUUUGUCUGUUUUUGCGUUACGCGACGUUUCUGUCAGAUAUAAAUAUUCCCUUAAAAUUAGACCUGCGUUAUUUUACAUAGAAUUAAGUGUAAAGAUUUCAUUUUUAGAUUUAAAGCGAACUUUACCCUUUAUUGUACAUUGCUUUUUAAAAUAAUUUUUAAGUUAAAAAUAUACGAGAAAUGUGUAUUAGUAGUAAGGAGGCUCAAUAUUUGAAAUGGAUAUAUUAAAUUAAAAUUACUGACUGAAUGUGAAAAAUGUAAGCUUCGGAAGAGUCCGACAUUUUCUUACUUUCAAUUUGUUUUGUAUUCAUUUCAAAUAAUUGAAUUUCUUGAUUUUAAACCCCUGAAAAUGUUAAAUAACUGAUUAUAAAAUCAGAAACGAUUGUCGGCACUCGUAGACAACUAUAGAGCGUCCGCAAAAAGCGUACUUUGAAAUAAUAAUUUUCACCCGAAAUUAUUAUUAAUUUGUAAAUAUUGAACAUAAAAUAUAAACUAAUUAAAGCAUUUUUUAAUAUGUAAACAUAAUUUGAGAGAUUACCACAGUAUUUUGUGUAAAAUUUUUAUUUUAUUUUUUUAGUUUUAACAAAAUAGCCAUAACCAUCUUUUUUAAUGUUAAUUUUUGUCAAUUAAAAGUGACUAAAUUAUUGUUAAAUUUUUUUGAGAUAUAAAGGAAAUACACUUUGUAA